ensembl:lncRNA
GGUCUUGAGUGAACCACUAGGGGCUUUCUGUGCUAGCUAAGCAAAUCUCUAUGCCUACACCUUGCGGGUGAUUCAUCCAAAGGGUCCUCGAAUCUCCAGAGACUGCAUGCAAGUAUCUGCCUGCACCUCUGAGAAGACCGUAGGGAAAGUGACUCGAGAUUGUGGUCAGGUUCAAGAUAGUUCUCUUGGAGACAGUAUUCAGGAGGACAACCUACUCUUGAGGAUAAGAGUAUGGAUGGUUCCUCCUCUUUCUCCUUCUUCUCCUUCUCUCCAGUUCAUCAGCCCUGACUUCUGGCCCCUUGGCAGUUGGUGCAUGUUGAAGAAGGAGGAGACUUCACAAGGAAGUUCUCACUUGAACACUCACUAGUGCUGUACGCAGGGUUUGGCUCUCUUGGACUCCUCAGAGCCUCGCUUUUGGGGACUUCUUGUCUACCGCACCUCAGCAUGUGCAUUACUCUUCAUGUGGGGUUCUGCAACUCCCUAGGAAUUCCAAGUCCACCUCCAGUUUCUCCUGGCCAGGAUCCCUUUUCUCUCCUGGAGAUCCAAGCCAAUACCAACCCCAGAGCUCUCUCCCAUAGGAAACUUUCAUUUAACUUUCGUCCUGAGCAGUGGAGCCCCAGGGCUGCCCUUGGAGCAGCUGGCCCAUCGCACGCUCUGGAUCCCCAUGGCAAUUUGAACUCCUCUCUGCGGUCCCACAUGGUUAACUCUCUCCCAACAUCUGCUGAAGCUGGCGCCCCUGUUUGCAGCGUCCGUGACACGUGGGUGCCACAGUGCACAGUGCCCUCGGGUGUUGGUGGGCGUGCAGCAUUUCUACAGCUCUCCCGCACACCUGCUCCUUCGUGG